GUCGGACAAAAACAAGAUUUAUUUUUAAUUUCUAUCAACGUUAGUUUUGUUAAUUAGUUUUUGUCUUUUAAACCAUUAUAACUAUUACAAAUAAUGUUUUUUUUUAUCUUUUUAAUAUAUUCAAUUUUGUUUUGGUUUUCCAUAACUCCUGUUGAUAAAUAUUUAAAAUCAAGAUAUGUAUUUUAUAUUUAAUUUUUAUUGGGUUUUCACUUUAAAUUUUCUUUUAUAUUUUUUUUAUCAAACUUUUUAAUAAUUAAACAUAAUUAUGUUUGUAAAAU
rnacentral:lncRNA from 1 species